ACCCUGACGAAGCAAUGCCGCGUGGAUGAAGAAGGCCUUCGGGUUGUAAAGUCCUUUYGUGGGGGACGAAAAGGDVGUUCYUAAUACGAGCUGCUGUUGACGUGAACCCAASAAGAAGCACCGGCUAACUCCGUGCCAKCAGCCGCGGUAAUACGGGGGGUGCAAGCGUUAAUCGGAAUCACUGGGCGUAAAGGGUGCGUAGGCGGUACGUUAGGUCUGUCGUGAAAUCCCCGGGCUCAACCUGGGAAUGGCGGUAGAAACCGGCGAACUAUGAGUAUGGGAGAGGGUGGUGGAAUUCCAGGUGUAGCGGUGAAAUGCGUAGAGAUCUGGAGGAACAUCAGUGGCGAAGGCGGCCACCUGGCCCAAUACUGACGCUGAGGCACGAAAGCGUGGGGAGCAAACAGGAUUAGAUACCCUGGUAGUCCACGCCCUAAACGAUGAAUACUAGAUGUUUGGUACCUAGCGUACUGAGUGUCGUAKCUAACGCGAUAAGUAUUCCGCCUGGGAAGUACGGCCC
rnacentral:rRNA from 1 species